AAAAAUGUCAGGUACCUGAAUAAUAGCAGAACACAUGGUCACACAUGCCACCUAAAAUAAAGGACAUUCAGCUACCUGAUGUAUAUGGAUUGCAUUGUGUUGUAUA
rnacentral:sRNA from 1 species